rnacentral:misc_RNA from 1 species
UUUCCGUAGGUGAACCUGCGGAAGGAUCAUUAUUGUAUAACCGAGGUGCGAGGGCUGUCGCUGACCCGAAAGGUCGUGCACGCCCGAGUGCCCUCACACACAUCCAUCUCACCCCUAUGUGCACCACCGCGUGGGUCCCCCUUUGGCUUGUUCGGAGGGGGGCUUACGUUUUCACACAAACUUUGUAUGCAGUGUAGAAUGUAUUUUUUGUUUUUGCGAUCACGCAAUCAAUACAACUUUCAACAACGGAUCUCAUGGCUCUCGCAUGGAUGAAGAACGCAGC